GGAGUUCAGACGUGUGCUCUUCCGAUCUGGCGGAGUGCCUAACACAUGCAAGUCGAGCGGCAGCGCGGGUAGUUUACUACCUGGCGGCGAGCGGCGGACGGCUGAGUAACGCGUGGGAACGUGCCCCAAAGUGAGGAAUAACUGCCCGAAAGGGUAGCUAAUGCCGCAUAUGAUCUUCGGAUUAAAGGAUUUAUCCGCUUUGGGAGCGGCCCGCGUUAGAUUAGAUAGUUGGUGAGGUAAUGGCUCACCAAGUCUACGAUCUAUAGCUGGUCUGAGAGGAUGAUCAGCCAGACUGGAACUGAGACACGGUCCAGACUCCUACGGGAGGCAGCAGUGAGGAAUCUUCCACAAUGGGCGAAAGCCUGAUGGAGCAACGCCGCGUGAAGGAUGAAGGCCCUAGGGUCGUAAACUUCUUUUAUAAGUGAAGAAUAUGACGGUAACUUAUGAAUAAGCACCGGCUAACUACGUGCCAGCAGCCGCGGUCAUACGUAGGGUGCAAGCAUUAUCCGGAGUGACUGGGCGUAAAGAGUUGCGUAGGUGGUUUGUUAAGUAGAUAGUGAAAGCUGGCGGCUCAACCGUACAGACUAUUAUCUAAACUGGCAAACUCGAGAAUGGUAGAGGUAACUGGAAUUUCUUGUGUAGGAGUGAAAUCCGUAGAUAUAAGAAGGAACACCAAUGGCGUAGGCAGGUUACUGGACCAUUUCUGACACUGAGGCACGAAAGCGUGGGGAGCGAACGGGAUUAGAUACCCCGGUAGUCCACGCCGUAAACGAUGGAUACUAGCUGUUGGAGGUAUCGACCCCUUCAGUAGCGAAGCUAACGCGUUAAGUAUCCCGCCUGUGGAGUACGGUCGCAAGACUAAAACAUAAAGGAAUUGACGGGGACCCGCACAAGCGGUGGAAGAUCGGAAGAGCGUCGUGUAGGGAAAGAGUGUAGAU
rnacentral:rRNA from 1 species